GACGAGGGAUCCUAGCGUUGUUCGGAAUCAUUGGGCGUAAAGCGGGUGCAGGCGGCUUUGUAAGUCAGAUGUGAAAGCCCAGGGCUCAACCCUGGAAGUGCAUUUGAUACUGCGAAGCUUGAAUGUGGGAGAGGCUAUCGGAAUACCUAGUGUAGUGGUGAAAUACGUAGAUAUUAGGUGGAACACCGGAGGCGAAGGCGGAUAGCUGGCCCAACAUUGACGCUCAGACCCGAAAGCGUGGGGAUCAAACAGG
rnacentral:rRNA from 1 species